CCUACGGGUGGCAGCAGUGAGGAAUAUUGGUCAAUGGGCGCAAGCCUGAACCAGCCAAGCCGCGUGAGGGAUGACGGUCCUAUGGAUUGUAAACCUCUUUUGGCGGGGAGCAAGGCCCGCCACGUGUGGCGGGAAGGAGAGUACCCGAAGAAAAAGCAUCGGCUAACUCCGUGCCAGCAGCCGCGGUAAUACGGAGGAUGCGAGCGUUAUCCGGAAUCAUUGGGCGUAAAGAGGGAGAAGGCGGGCUGGAGGGUCUAUUGUGAAAAGGCGAUGGCUAAACCAUUGUUAGGCGAAGAAACCGGCAGGCUAGAGUUCUAGAGAGGAUAGUGGAAUUCCAUGUGUAGCGGUGAAAUGCGUAGAUAUAUGGAGGAACACCAGUGGCGAAGGCGACGAUCUGGGAAGAAACAGACGCUGAGUCGCGAAAGCGUGGGGAGCAAAUAGGAUUAGAUACCCCGGUAGUC
rnacentral:rRNA from 1 species